GCCUCCUUCGAGGUCAAGGCGUAUGCCGCGGGGCUGCCCGGCCGCGCCCGGGCCCGCACGCCUCUGCGGGGCCUUGGGUAGCGCGGGGUGGGAGAGGAGCAGGGCCCUUUUCCCGCUGGGGGCGGGCGGGCGCUAGAUUCUUUGGAUUGCGGACGUCGCGGGCAAAUAAAACGCGCGGGCGGUAGAGCUGUCCCAGCUGCGUUCGUGUUGCUGGGGCGCUGGGAGAGUGAGGAGCGGAGCAGCGCCCCAGGCAGAUGGAGCCCAGCAGCGGGAGCGGCGACGCCAGGCCCGCCGGCACGCCGGUGGCGGUUGUGCUGCCGGCGGGCGGGAGCGGGGAGCGCCUGGGUGGCGCCACCCCCAAGCAGUUCUGCGCCGUGCAAGGGAGGCCGCUCGUCAGCUACACGGUGCAGACGAUGGAGAGGAUAAGUUGGAUAUCUGACAUUAUUGUGGUGGUGUCUCCUGAAAAGAUUGAAACAAUGAAGUCUAUCAUUGAAAAAUACGGACACAAAAGAGUUACGGUAGUAAAAGGUGGAGUAACUCGUCACCGGUCAAUAUUCAAUGGACUGAAAGUAUUUACAGAGAAUGAAUUUUCCAACCAUCUGCUCCAGAAGCCAGAAGUAGUGAUUAUCCAUGAUGCUGUGAGGCCAUUUGUUGAAGAAGAUAUUCUUUCAAAAGUGGUUAUGGCUGCUAAAGAACAUGGGGCAGCAGGAGCAAUUCGUCCUCUAGUUUCUACGGUUAUUGCCUCUGCUGCAGAUGGCUGUUUAGACCACUCGUUGGAACGUGCCAAGUACAGAGCGAGUGAAAUGCCUCAGGCUUUCUUGUUUGAUAUAAUCUAUGAAGCAUACCAACAGUGUACAGACUAUGACCUGGAUUAUGGAACUGAAUGUUUGCAUCUGGCUCUGAAAUACUGUAAAACAAAUGCCAAACUUGUUGAAGGAACAGCUGACCUCUGGAAGGUGACCUACAAGCGGGAUCUGUAUGCAGCUGAAUCGAUUAUUAAGGACAACCUUUCACAACAAGUUUGUGUUAUUACUGAUGUGAAGGAAGCUGCUGCCCAAGUAGGUUUUCUCCUUCAUGAAUCUCUGAAAAGCCAAAUAAGAGUUGAAUCUAUAUCAGUAUCUCUAAGCAACAAUGAUAGCCAUCUGCAAAGCGUCAUUUCAGGACAGUGCUACAAUUUUGUUUGUAUAAAUGAUAAAAACCAUGCUGUUCAAGAAACCCAGCAAGUAGUGGAUAUGUUGGAAAAAUCAAAUAUUCCUCUCUUAUAUCCAGUUGUCCUUAUUUUGGUGCUCUUGGAUAUUUCAGAAAAUAUUUCUUUCAGCAUUGGGAUGGAAGAACUAAGUAGGAUCAAGAAAUUUGCAAGGGAAGUGAAAAAUGAAAAUAUUUUGGUUUAUGGUCUCCUUAUCCAGUAUAAGGUAGGUUUUGUCAGAUCCUAAGUAAUGAUGGCAUGGUGCUCUAAAAGUGAAGAGAAAUAUUCAGAUACGUGAUACUUCCCUGCUUGUAAUUUUACAAUUACAUUGAUGACCUCAGAUCUCACUGCGUAGAAAUGUCCUACUUGGUUCUUUGAAGACUUUUUCUGUUUUUACCUGCACUGCAUGACACAGUUUGCUAAUCACCGAGAACCUCUGGCAUUGAUAGUAAUUCUCCUGAUCUUUAGCAAAGGAAAACAAAAAAAAACGACUUGGAGAGGACAAGAACAAGGAAAUAUAAAGUCUAGUUAUGCGGAUGACAGAGGCAUUGGCACCUAGCUCAUGGUUGUUCCAAACACCAUUUGUCUAUUUUACAUCAAAUGAACAAACUUUGGAGCAAAAGUUAAAACAGAGCUUUCACUUGCUCCCCAGGCAUCUGGACUAGUGUCUAGGCUGGAUUCAUGUCAUCUUUCUGUUGUGAUACAGCGACUGCACAUAAAAUGGGAAUUCCUCCACAGGGAUUUUAAAGCCAAUCCAAAUAAAGUGACCAUUUGCUGCUUCAGGACACAGUAAAUUCUGCUGCUGCUCUUAUCCUGGCAUUAAUAAAGGACAGAAACCCAGAGCUGGUUGGGCAGCUGUUGGUAGCAUAAGACCAUAAAUCACGUGUAGCUUUUGGAAAUGUUUCUUUUUCAUCAUCCAUUCACCAAAGGUCUUGAAUCAUUUUACCCUUUGAUGAAAACUCUGGAUUUAUGACAUUUGCUAUUAAGAUCUUUUAAUAGCGUAUUUUUGAUACUUAAAAUGCAGGUAUGAUAUUAUGUAUAAAGUAUAAAAUGAGAUACAACUCAUUCUGAGAUAUACUGGGUACAUACUGUGAGGAAUAAUACUGAGACAUUAUUGUGAGGUAUUGAUUGUUUGAAAAGGUGCACAGAGGACACUAAAGCAUUCAGUCUUCGUACAGAAUUGUCUUUAACCAUAUAUGUGUAUUGUACUCUAGGACUGCAUGAAUGAAAUUUGAUUUAAGGUAAAAUCACCCUAAAGCACAGCUCUUGUUCUUUACAUGAAAUUAUUUUAAAAUGACUGCUAUACCUAUUAGCGAAUACAGAGUUCACAAUACAGUGUAGCCUUCCUGACAUCAACAGAAAUGCACAUUGCAAGGUGGGUUUGGAGGGUCAGGUCCUUGUCCUCCAUGUAAUGAAGGUGACCCUGAAACAAAGAUGUUCCUGGGGGCAACGAGGUGCUAAACCCCCGUUUUGUGCUUGGGCUGUGGGGAGUGCCCCAGGGCAGCACUGGUGCCAGUGCCCCUGCGCCAGCAUUCCCAAGUAGCUCCAGUCACUCCUCUGAGUCCUGUGGUACACAUACUCUUUGUCUGUGCACCUCUGGGGGUACGUAUAUGCAUGUAUUUGCAUAUGCAUGCAUAAAGGAAGAGUUAAGGCUGAAAAAAAUGUUUUGUAGCCCAAUCUGUAGGUAAUGGAGAAAUAGGAAGAUUCUGUUAGCUCAUCUACAUGCAUACAGUUUUUGACUCUUGCUGGUUGGCAUAUGUAUGUAUUAAAUAGCAGUGAAGAGAACUGAGUGUUAUGAGUUCAAAUAGACGCUACAUUGAUAUUCAAGUGUGGAAUGUUGGGGCAGGAACGUAAAAUGGUGAGUGGUUAUUAUGUGGAGUAUCUCCAGGUAUCACAACCACUAAGAGCAAUACAAGAAGAGGACAGUCCCUGAAAACGUGUGUCCCUCUCUAUGCAUCAGACUCAGGAUUUCCAGCUUUCCUGCAACUUGGGAAGGUGUUAGGUUAAUGUCUCAUGUACCUGUCAUGCUUGGAACAGUGUCCUGGGGAAAUAACCCCACCAGAAGUGACCAGUGAGCCUGAUAUUCGGUUUGUCCUGAGCAAGACCACUGUGAGUUCAGCACAUAUCCCUCUGAAACCAGCGUUCCUCCCCUUACUCCCACCAUGUCCCAACCCCUCUGGGGCGCAAACAAAACCUAGGAUAGUGUCAUCCACACUCGGCCUCUUCCCCUUCCUCUUCCCCUUCACCUGACUAUCUAUAUCUCUGUUUUAAAUCUCUGCGAGAAGCUGGUGUUGAUCCCAACCUUCCUUCAUUACACGAUAAAAUAAAGAGUUGUUAGCUGGCUGUUCUGUUUCCAAAGGCACAUUUUCUUCCACAAAGAAAUCAUCCUAAGGCAACUAACAAAGUUCUCGUGCAUCGUCUGCUUUCUUCUUUGCUUUUCUGUCCUCUCUACUUUGAUUAAUAAUUUGUCCUUUUCUGACAUUGUACAACACAAGCAUUCAUAUUAGCUCUGUGUAUGGCUAUACAAUAGGCAUAUUUUAUUAAUAUAAAUAUUCAUGCCUGUUCAUAUGCAGACUAUGCAAAUAAAUGAGGAACUAAAGAAUUUAUUAUUGGUAUUCAUAAUUUAACAGGACAGCUUUCACAAAUAAGUUUUCUGAAUUUGCUUUUACAUUAAUGAAUUUGAUGAAGAAAUUCAUCUCUCAGACUUUUAAAAGACAUGAUGAAGGAUGUCUUUCACUGUAUUUUGUGAUUCUUCUUUUCUUGAAGACUAAAAUACAAUCACAGAAUCACAGAAUCCGUGAUGUAUUUUCCCUACAUAAUAAUAUAGAAGUGAAUUCAGAAAGUCCUUUCUGUUCUUCAUCCACUCUAACUUAUACGUUGUGAUACUUCCUUAGUAUUGGAUUGUGUUUAAUUGUCACUUGCUUAAACAGAACCUUUUACUUUUUAGGGUUGUUUUACUCACGUCAUUCUCUUAAAAGGAUUUAAAUCCAUUUUAAAAUGUUACUGCAAUGAACUGCUGUAAUAAAAAAAUAUAUUGUGGUUGUUUAUGAACUUAUUUUGAAAAGAGAACAGACAAUGCACAAAAAUUGUGUUCAGGUCAUCAGACAUACUUGGUACUAACCUUAAAUGGAAUAUAAUAAGCUUUAUUAAUAUACUGUUAAUCUUUGCAUUAUGGAUUUUUCUUACCAUUAACAUUCUCUUUAAAUAAUCUACAAACACUGAAAAAUACACCAACAGUGCUACUAAAACUGAUCAUGAAAUAUUAGAACCACAGUAAGAAAAAAAAAAACUGGACUGUGAUUAAUGCUAUUGUGUAUCCAAACCAAAUUUAAAUGGUCUUUUGGAUGACUGUCAAUACUUACAAUGGGAAUAAAGAUAUAAAAUGAAAUGAAGAAA